GGAGUGCAGUGGUACAGUCACAGCUCACUGCAGCCUCCACCUCCUGGGCUCAAGGGAUCCUCCUAUCUCAGCCUCCCAAGUAGCUGGGUCUACAGGCAGAGUCUCGACUCUCCUGGGUUUCCGAGUCAAAUGUCUCUUGCCUGGAGAGGCCGCGAUUUGUCCCACUGCGAUGGUUGUGGUGUGGGGCUGAGGAGGAAGAGCGGUGCUGGGAUUUCUUGACUGGUUCCACACUAGGUUCUUCUUCAGCUUGAGAAGCAGAACGGAUAGGAGCGGAGCGAUCAGUCCUUUGAUCACCUUGAGAACCCUGGCAGCAAAAGGAGCACACCAGGCGUUAACCAAGGUACAUACACAGCUCAUGCUGGACUUGCUUUGAGUUAAUAUACUAGAACAAGCCCCACGCAGGCUACUGGGCUUGGAUCCUAGAGGUGUCACCAUAGUUCUGGCCAGGCAUGGCGGCUCAUGCCUGUAAUCCUAGCACUUCGGAAGGCCAAAGCAGGAGGAUCACUUCAGGCCAGGAGAUCUAGACCAGCCUGGGCAACAUAGCAAGACCCCACCUCUACAGGGGGAAAAAAAAAGUUAGUCGAUCAUGGUGGCAUGCACCUAUAGUCUCAGCUGCUUGGAAGGCUGAAGCAAGAGGAUCACUUGAGCCCAGGAGUUCAGGGGUGCAGUGAGCUAAGACCAUACCACUGCACUCCCAACAUGGGCAACAGAGCAAGACCUUGUCUCAAAAAAAAAAAAAAAAAAAACAGGUCUGAUAUCUGUAAUAAAUAUCUGUAACUGGAUUAUGCUGUAUAUAGAGAUAACUUACUGGAGGACACUGAGCCAGUUUAUCAGCUGCUACCAUCUGGACGUUGAGGUGUUUAGCUUGAGAUUUCCCUCGAGAUUUUAUUAACCUUUGUAAAACCUGUAAAAGAUAAUGAGUUUUUAACAGAGUAAUAACUACAUCCAGGUAAAGUACAAGGUACAUUACUGACUCCUUUCUCUGGGGCCUUUUUAUAUACAGCACAAGGGGCUUAUAAUAGAUGGAGCUAUAAGAUUAUCUGCAAAAUUAACAUGUUAACAUAAAUCACAGUUGCAAGCUUUAAGCACUCAUUCUUUUUUCUAAGCUAGCAGCUCUCAAACGUUUUGUCCCACAACCUCUUUAAAGAAGCUAAAAUGGAAAACUAAACUAUUAAAACAUUUAUUUAAAAAUUCACAAUAAAUCUGAUACAGGUUUAUAUAUUUUUUGUUUGUUUGUUUUUUGUUGUUUUUUUGAGAUGGAGUUUUGCUCUGUUGCCCAGGCUGGAGUGCAGUGGCACGAUCUCGGCUCACUGUAAGCUCCGCCUCCCAAGUUCAUGCCAUUCUCCUGCCUCAGCCUCCCGAGUAGCUGGGACUACAGGCGCCCACCACCAUGCCCGGCUAAUUUUUUUGUAUUUGUAGUAGAGACGGGGUUUCACUGUGUUAGCCAGGAUGGUCUCACUCUCCUCACCUCAUGAUCCUCCCGCCUCAGAGUGCUGGGAUUACAGGCAUGAGCCACUGUGCCCAGCCAAAUUUUUUUAAUAAAAAUAGCUACAUUUUUUACAAAUCUCUCUAAUGGCUGGCUGGCUUCAUAAAAGACAACUGCAGUCUCCUGUUUGCUUCUACAGCCAACCUGCUCUAGUGUCUUGUUUUUGGUUGAAAUAUAUGAAGAAAAUCCAACCUCCUACAGAUUUGUAAUGGAGAAAAGGAGAAACAAUUUAGUAUAGUCGUCUUCUUUGAUACUACACUAAAACUCAACAAAUGGUAGUUCCUUAAAGACUAUUUGUUAUGUGGAAUCUGAAACCUGCAGUGAAAUUUUCCAUGACAUUCCAUUGGUCUGUCUUGAAAUUAUUCAUUGAUCAUACAAACAAUAAUGGUUCACUGACUUCAGAUCUUCCAAAUGUUGACAGAUUUCAUUAUACAGUAUUAAAACAUCAUAUUCACUAAUAUUACCAUUGAUCUCAGAGAAAUGUUUAUUGAGAAGCUUGCAAGUUCUUAAAGGUGGAUACAAGUUUUCUGAAAUUCUGAUUGUUGUCUGAAAGCUUGAGUUUUAUCAUUGGCAACACAUGCUGUUCUCCUUUAAGUGACAGGGUUAUUUUGUCCAAGAAAAUAUCUGCUACACCAAGUCUGAAUAAGCAUAGCCUGUCAGUUGUUGUUUGAAAUAAAAAUGAUAUUCUAUGAAAAACAUGGCUAGUUUCGUUCACAACUCAAUCAAAUCAGUGCUUGUCCUUACUUUUUGGUAUGCAGCAGGAGCUUUGUGUGUACUUUGUUUUAUUACACUGAAUAUUAAAAGAAGUCAAGAUUUAAUAAAAGUAAUAAACUUUAGUACUUUAUCAGGACAUUAAGUGAAAUUGGCUUUUUUUCCCCUUAAACUGCGAAAGCAUGGUGAUGGUGGAUACAGUAACUGCUGGUACUUUGAUACCAGUCUUGAUUUAUGCUUAGACCCCAGCAGUUUUACCCACCAUUGCUUUUGCAUCAGCCAUGCAAAUGUCAAAACAGGGAAAAUCGCAAAUAAUGUCUUAGUAUUAUCAUGGAAGUAGUUUUCACUAAAUGGACCCUCUAAAAGUGUCUCAACACUCUCCAGGGAUCCGUGGACCACACUUUGAAAACAGCUGUUCUAAGCCAUGAAAUUAUAUCAAUUUAAAAAUUCUUGACUAUCAUGUCUCUUCAAAUUCCCUAUACAUCAUAAAGCCUAUUACAAUAGCCUAAUUAUAGAAAGCAGAACAUAAAAUACAUUUUAGGAAAGUUUGAUUAUAGAGCAAAUAGUAGCAAUCCUACUUACUUACCUUAGGAGAAGAAAUCUUUACAUAUACUAUAAUAGGGGCCAAGGAGGUUUUACUGAGUUGAGCUGGAUGAUUAAUCGUAUCCGCAUCAAGGACCACCAAUUGCAGUGUUCUUGCAAGUUCAAAAAUCCUUUCAAUUUCACUCUGGACUUCCGCUGUGAAGGGUGAAACAGCUCAGCUGAAGUGCAGUAUUUUUAAGAUAAAGUAAAAUGGUAUACUGUUUCUUCAACAGAAAGGUGAGUAGGUCAGCCAUUAUGUUAAUGCUUAUAGGCAAUAGAAUUGAUAAAAAUUUACAACAGUAAUUUAUCCUUUUGGAAAGGGAUCUUUCUCCACACAUCAUUAGGAUUUAAGGAUUUUCUCUCAACUGGCAACAGAAUUUACUUUUAGUAUAAUACUUGGAUUGUGGAAAUUUGUAGCUCUCUGCUGACAUUCUUUCUUUGUGCUUCCACUCUAUGAAAUCAUUUCAUAAAACUGCUGUAAAAUAAGAACCUUGAGAUAUCCUCUGUGUGUUCAUUGCAGACCACUUUGCACUAGCAACCAUGACAAGUUUUCCUUUCGGUGCAUGGGCUGAUCUGUGUUUACAUGUCACCUGUAUGCCGUCUAGAUAUGUUAACGAGAUGAAAUACAAAAUAAAACAGGAAAGAUGUGAAUGGCACCAGUAACAAACUUAUCCAAAAACAUACCUCAUAUUUUCCAACCAAAGUAGUCAUGUUUUAAAAGGGCAGUUUUCAGAGGCAGCACUACAGAAAUCUAAAGUAUAAAAUUUAUAGAAACUUAUCACAAAACAUUUAAAUAUCUAGUCGAACUCCAAGAAAAUUACAUUCAGUUCAUCUGUUCCAUGAUCUCCAAAGAAAGACUCAAAAACAGGACUGUCUGACAGAAUUUUCUGCAAUGAGGGAAAUAUCCUCUGUAUGUGGUCCAGUGUGGCAGCAGCUAAUGGGCUACUAAGCACUUGAACAGGCAUGUAAAUUUUUAAAAUUUAAUAAGUAGCCAGAAGCUACUAUUACUAGGCAGCAUAGGUCUAUAAAGCAUAGUACAUAGCUUUCAGUUCCCACUGCAGUCAUGGAGGUUGAAUUCCAUGAGACUUUUAUGCCAGCAAAUGUGGAUUUACAAUUACCUUUUAAUUCCUCGUAGGCAGUUCGAUUCAUGCCAGAAGCUUCCUGGAGGUAAUUUUAACUAGUAGAUUAUUGAAAAAAAGGUAACUCUCUGGUCACUAAUCCAUCUGCCUCACAAUAUGUUAUGACUUGAGUCUUUCUGUUUGCCUAGACAUGUUUAAAAAAUCAGGGCCCAAACUACAUGAGAUACUAGCUUUAAAAUAACAUUGGGCCACUGAAUCCCAGUCAAGUUACAACAUAAAUUAAUAUUUAUUGUGGGCAUUAAGAAAUCUGAUCAGAGAUUUUCAUCUGUGUUUCAUCUGCUAAGUGUUCAGACAGUCACAGCAUCCCGUGUAACUCCUUGCUUUUAAAGGUUUGAGCACUAUUUUUAUUGAUUAUAAGUUUAAUAUGUGGGGUUUUUGUUUUUUUGUUUUUUUUUUUUGAGACAGAGUCUCUCUCUGUCUCCCAGGCUGGAGUGCAAUGGCACAGUCUUGGCUCACCACAACCUCCUCCACCUCCUCAGUUCAAGCGAUUCUCUCGCCUCAGCCUCCCACAUAGCUGGAAUUACAGGCAUGUGCCACCAGGCCCAGCUUGUGUUUUGUAUUUUUAGUAGAGAUGGGGUUUCACCAUGUUGGCCAGGCUGGUCUCAAACUCCUGACCUCAAGUGAUCUCCCGCCUCAGCCUUCCAAACUGCUGGCAUUACAGGUGUGAGCCACUGCGCCCAGCCCUAAUAUGUGCUCAUCAUAUAAAACCUGGAUAGCCUUAAAAUAUAUUACAUAUACGGAUAUUAUUUCUAUUAUGUCAACAUAUUAACAUGUUUUAAUAUAUAUACAUAUAUAAAGAUAUUUCUGGUAGCCUUACAUACAUACUUUACACUCCUUUAAUUAAAGGGAAAGAUUUUAAAAAUAUUUUAAAGUGGACUUUCAGAAUACUGGUGCAACACCGUAUUAGUAGAUACAACCUUAAAGAUCAAUGACAAAUUCUGAUAAUACUUUUGACUUCAAAGUAAAAAUGAUGCUUUUAAAAAGGGAUGUAUCCAUGCUAGGAAUUUUCCUUUGACAGAGCAUAUCAUGCUCAGAAUUUACUGUAAUAAAGAAAUGUCAGAAACUUCCCCAAUGUUCGUUUCUGAAACUGAAAGUCAAUUUGAUUCUUUCCAGUCGUCCUAGCUAAUGAAAGAAUGCAGCUCAGCAUCUUGAAGAGGGGGCAAGCCUUCCUCAUCUCCCCACAUCCCACAGUUUCUUAUACCCACUGAAUUAAACUGAAAAAUGAAGAACACCUUUAUGCUUUAUAUCUCUAGUAUCUAUAAACAACACCAAGAACAAUCAAUGUUUCCUCUAAGAUAAGAGAAGCUACAACACUGAUUAUUAGAGAAAUGCAAAUCAAGCCACAAUGAGAUACCAUCUCCCACCAGUUAGAAUGGCUGUUAUUAGAAAGUCAAAAAAUAACAGAUGCUGUUGAGGUUGUGGAGAAAAAGGAACGCUUACACACUGUUGAUGGGAGUGUAAAUUAGUUAAACCAUUGUGGAAGACAGUAUGGCAGUUCCUCAAAGACGUAAAGAUAGGAAUACCAUUUGACCCAGCAAUCCCACUACUGGGUAUAUACCCAAAGAAAUAGAAGUCAUUCUAUUAUAAAGAUACAUGCACAUAUAUGUUCACUGCAGCACUAUUCACAAUAGCAAAGAUGUGGAAUCAACCUAAAGGGCCAUCAAUGAUGGAGUGGAUAAAGAAAACACAGUACAUAUACACCAUGGAAUACUAUGCAGCCAUAAAAAAGAACAAGAUCAUGUCCUUUGGAGGGAUAUGGAUCGAGCUGAAGGACAUUAACCAUAGCAAACUAAUGCAGGAACAGAAAACGAAAUGCCACAUGUUCUCACUUGUAAGUGGGAGCUAAAUGAUGAGAACACAUGGACACAUAGAGGGUAACGACACACACUGGGGCCUAUCAGGGUGGGAGGAGGAAGAGAGUCAGGAAAAAAUAACUGAUGAGUACUAGUCUUAAUACCUGGGUGAUAGGAACUUAAAAGUUAGCAAACAACAGAAGUUAACUUAUUUAGGAGGUUUAUGUUAUAAUACGGUAAUAACAGAGUGGAGAUGGUUAUUUUCAUUGCGGCUAGUGUUGAGGGACACCUAAGUGGUCAGUUAGGAAUUAAUAAGACCUGGAGGUAGCUCUAGUAUGAGUUAUUUAAUGCCAUAUAUGUAAUUCCAAUGCCAUUUUCAUAAUUACUACACACAAAACUCUUAAUUUUGACCAGUGCCCACCUUAUCUUGCAAAAAAUCUGUACAAGCCUUCUCUAACCACCUUUCUACCCAGGCUCAGUAAAUUCUGCCUCUCUGUUCCCACUGCCACAUAUCAAAGGGGCUUGGGGGGCAGAAAUGAAGUGUCAUCGCUUCAUAGAGCUGUAUGGUCACUGGGUAACACAUUGAACCUCUUAGAACCUAAGUAUUCUUAUCUAUAUUACGGAAAUGAGGACUAGAUGAAUCCACAUGCAAAGCUUCCAUUACAGUUAUUGCAGUACUUGGCCUACAGUAAGUGCAGACAGUCCAUGACUUAUGAUGGUUUGACUCAAAGAUUUUUCAACUUUAUAGAGUGUGAAAGCAAUAUACAUACAGUAGGAACCGAACUUUGAGUCCCCAUACAACCAUUCUGUUUUUCACUUUUAGUAUUCAGUACAUGAGAUACUCUACACUUUAUUAUAAAAUGGGUUUGGUGGUAGAUGCAGUUGGUUUGUCCAACUGCAUUUUUUUUUGCAUUUUUGUACUUUUUGCAUUUUAUUAUAAUAAAAUUACAGCCUCCUCUUUGGCUCACUCUUUACUCCUUGGUCUGCUUCUGCUUUUACAGUUCUCAACCACUGACCAACCAUCUCUGUCUGUCUGUAUAUACAAGAUUUUGUCCAUGUCUUCCUGUAAAAUAAACACUAUGAGAAAGAGGACUUUGUGUCCUUUACUUUUGUGUCCCUGGGCACCAAAAUAAUGCCUGGCACAUGGUUGGUACUCAAGUAUUUGCUAAAUGAAUGAAUGCCUCCAGUCUGUACAUGGUCCCCUACCACCUUAAGAAUAAUGAUAUGGUUUGGCUGUGCCCACCCAAAUCUCAUCUUGAAUUGUAGCUCCCAUAAUUCCCACUUGUCAUAGGAGGGACCUGGUGGGGGGUAAUUGAAUCUUGGGAGUUGGUCUUUCCCAUGCAGUUCUCCUGAUAGUGAUUGAGUCUCAUGAGAUCUAAUGGUUUCAUAAAGGGGAGUUCCCCUGCACAUGCUCUCUCUUGCCUGCUGCCACGUAAGAUGUGACUUUGCUCCUCCUUCGCUGUCUACCAUGAUUGUGAGGCCUCACUAGCUAUUUGGAACUGUGAUUCCAUUAAACCUCUUUCCUUUGUAAA